rnacentral:rRNA from 1 species
AGGACGAACGCUGGCGGCGUGCCUAACACAUGCAAGUCGAGCGGAGAUAAGCGGAAGGUAACUGAAGCUUAUCUUAGCGGCGGACGGGUGAGUAACACGUGGGCAACCUGCCUUGAAGUGGGGGAUAACACCGGGAAAUCGGUGCUAAUACCGCAUAACAUACACAAACUGCAUGGUGAGUGUAUCAAAGGAGCAAUCCGCUUUAAGAUGGGCCCGCGGCUGAUUAGCUAGUUGGUAAGGUAACGGCUUACCAAGGCGACGAUCAGUAGCCGACCUGAGAGGGUGACCGGCCGCACUGGAACUGAGACACGGUCCAGACUCCUACGGGAGGCAGCAGUGGGGAAUAUUGCGCAAUGGGGGGAACCCUGACGCAGCAACGCCGCGUGGAGGAAGAAGGUCUUCGGAUUGUAAACUCCUGUCUUCUGGGACGAAUAAUGACGGUACCAGAGGAGGAAGCCACGGCUAACUACGUG